rnacentral:rRNA from 1 species
UACGGGGGGGGCAAGCGUUGUUCGGAAUUACUGGGCGUAAAGGGCUCGUAGGCGGCCAACUAAGUCAGACGUGAAAUCCCUCGGCUUAACCGGGGAACUGCAUCUGAUACUGGAUGGCUUGAGUUCGGGAGAGGGAUGCGGAAUUCCAGGUGUAGCGGUGAAAUGCGUAGAUAUCGAGAGGAACACCGGUGGCGAAGGCGAGUCCCUGGACAACACCUGACACUGAGGCACGAAAGCUAGGGGAGCAAACAGG